rnacentral:lncRNA from 1 species
GUGCGAAUUAUUGACGACAAGGCAAUACAGAAGGAACAGUUAAUGAGCUUUUUAAUUAUAUAUGAUAUAGCCGUUUGUAAUGUUGGUGCAUUAAAAUCAGAAACGAAGCGUCUUUUUGUAAACUGUCAUUCGCCUAUCAGUUAACAAACGCUUAAUGUAAUGUGUUUGCAGUCUGUCACAUCUAAGUACUUAGUAUAUUUUAACUUUGGUUAUCUGUCAGCAUUUGCUUAGGAUAAUCGAUCAGAUCAUGUCUUCCAGAAUAUUGAUGUUUGUAUUUGAAAACAAAAAUAGAUGUCCGCCGUUAAUCCUUAAGCUCAACAUUAUAUCUACAUUAUUCAGUCAUUUUUUUCAAGUCCCUUUUUUCGAACCUUCGAAGAGUUUAUCUGAAUAAUAUGUAAAGAAUUAUUCCAAAAAAUUUCAGCUCAUAGAGUUUUUAAGCAUUUCAUAUGCAUUAACUUUCAUUAACUAUAGUUUAUGUAAGUGUUUAUGGUCCAUCAGCUGCUACUGGUUGUUUUUAUCCAAUCUGCUCGUUUGAAUAUAUUGUCGGCUUUAAAUAAUCUGAUCAUGCUGUUAUGAUAGACUAGUCUACUUUAAAUUGAAUUUGAUGAAAUAUGCAUGCCUUCAAUCAACAUUAACCUCUACUGAAGCGAAAUCGGAUUUUGCUUUAAUAGUUUAAUUCGGCAGAGAUUGUUUGUAGCAUUGUUUCUUUUUGUAUCAAUUGAUUACUAAUCGUGCGGUUCAAAUUUGGAGAGAAAAUGUAACACAUAAAAAAGAAGAUGUGGUAUGAUUGCUAAUGAGACAACUAUCCAUAAAAGACCAAAAUGACACAGACAUUAACAACUAUAGGUCACGUUAUAGGCCGUCAACAAUGAGCUAAGCCCAUACCGCAUAGUCAGCUAUAAUAGGCCCCGAUUAGACAAUGUAAAACAAUUCAUACGAGAAAACUAACGGCCUUAUUUAUGUAAAAAAAAAUGAACGACAAAUAAAUAUGUAACACAUAAACAAACGACAACCACUGAAUUACAGGCUCCUAACUUGGGACAGGCACAUACAUAAAUAAUGUGGCGAGGUUAAACAUGUUAGCGGGAUCCCAACCCUCCCCCUAACCUGGGACAAUGCUACAACAGUACAACAUAAGAACGAAUUAUAAAAAUCAGUUGGAAAAGACUUAACUCAUCAGAUGGACAAAAAUACAAGUGGACGUGGCCGGGUACUUAUACAUCCCGACUACAAAAAGAUGCAAUGAACAGAUCUGAGAGUACUCGCAGUUAUCUGACAGCUAG